rnacentral:lncRNA from 1 species
AAUAUACAAAACCUAUUUUCAUAGUAUAUUCUGAUUUUACCAUACAGUACAACAUGUUUUCGAUGCUUCGAUUUAAUGAUUUUCUAGAAAAUUGAUUUUUAUCUAUGUGUUGAUAUUUAUUGUUAUUAAGAAUGAGUUUGAUUAAUGAUUUUAUUAUCGUUUUUGAGUAAAUGCAUGAUAUUAGAAUUGAGUGGAUUUUGAGAUAUGCUGAAUAAAAAGAAAAUGAGAUUUCAGAUGUGAUUAUAUGUUUAUGUACAUGUGUAUAAAAUGUUGUUUGGAAAAUCAUUGGAUAGUACCCUUCCCCUCUAGAUACAGAGAUACAGAUAAUACGAGAUGAAUAUAGAGAUACAGAUGAGAUGAUAUAGAGGCCUUUGGGGCCCGUCUAAACACACAUAGAGGCUUUGGGCCGUGUGUUUGGGCGUUUUUGCCUUUUGGGGGCUUAUGCAUGUAGUAUGAUGAUUACAGAGAUACAAAUGUUGAGAUACAUGAGAUAUGAGAUGAGAUUUCCCCGUCUAUCCGUUGUAGCUCCGGGGCAUGAUGGUUCCCUGAUUGCCCGUCCGUCGAGGUCCGGAUAUGAUGAGAUCAUUCCCCUGGGUACUUGUUUGGUGAUAGAUUUAUGUAAUAUAGUUAUUUCAGUGCAUGAUUUGAAUUGAAUAUGUUUAUAUAAGUUCUUAUGAUAUUUUGAUGAAAUUGAUUUGAGAAAGAUUAAAUCAUUUUAAAUAAAUUUAUUUUUCAAAAACUA